rnacentral:rRNA from 1 species
AACGAACGCUGGCGGCAGGCCUAACACAUGCAAGUCGAGCGAUACCAGCAAUGGUGGAGCGGCAGACGGGUGAGUAACACGUGGGAACGUACCCUUCGGUUCGGAGUAACUCAGGGAAACUUGAGCUAAUACCGGAUACGUCCGAGAGGAGAAAGAUUUAUCGCCGAAGGAUCGGCCCGCGUCUGAUUAGCUAGUUGGUGAGGUAAUGGCUCACCAAGGCGACGAUCAGUAGCUGGUCUGAGAGGAUGAUCAGCCACAUUGGGACUGAGACACGGCCCAAACUCCUACGGGAGGCAGCAGUGGGGAAUAUUGGACAAUGGGCGCAAGCCUGAUCCAGCCAUGCCGCGUGAGUGAUGAAGGCCUUAGGGUUGUAAAGCUCUUUACCUGGGAAGAUAAUGACGGUACCGGGUGAGGAAGCACCGGCUAACUCUGUGCCAGCAGCCGCAGUAAU